AACGAACGCUGGCGGCAGGCUUAACACAUGCAAGUCGAACGCAUCCUUCGGGGUGAGUGGCAGACGGGUGAGUAACGCGUGGGAACGUGCCCUUCAGUUCGGGAUAACCCAGGGAAACUUGGGCUAAUACCGGAUACGUGCGAGAGCAGAAAGAUUUAUCGCUGAAGGAUCGGCCCGCGUCUGAUUAGCUAGUUGGUGGGGUAAUGGCCCACCAAGGCGACGAUCAGUAGCUGGUCUGAGAGGAUGAUCAGCCACAUUGGGACUGAGACACGGCCCAAACUCCUACGGGAGGCAGCAGUGUGGAAUAUUGGACAAGGGCCGCAAGCCUGAUCCAGCCAUGCCGCGUGAGUGAUGAAGGCCUUAGGGUUGUAAAGCUUUUUCGUCCGGGACGAUAAUGACGGUACCGGAAGAAGAAGCCCCGGCUAACUUCGUGCCAGCCGCCGCGGUAAGAC
rnacentral:rRNA from 1 species